rnacentral:tRNA from 15 species
GGGGUUAUAGCUCAGCUGGUCAGAGCGCUACGUUGACAUCGUAGAGGUCACAGGUUCGAUCCCUGUUAACCCCACCA